UAUCUCUGUAGAGUCUGCAUAUCAAUAAGCGGAGGAAAAGAAACUAACUAGGACUUCCCUCAGUAACGGCGAGUGAAGCGGGAAGAGCUCAAAUUUGAAAUCUUCAAGGUUCUACCUUGACGAAUUGUAGUUUAAAGAAGUGUUUUCUGUUGGAGUUUUGGUAAAAGUUCUUUGGAAUAGGACAUCAUAGAGGGUGAGAAUCCCGUAUUUGACCAUUACUUUCCAGCGUUGUGAUACACUUUCAAAGAGUCGGAUUGUUUGGGAAUGCAGUCCAAAAUGGGUGGUAAAUUUCAUCUAAAGCUAAAUACUGGCGAGAGACCGAUAGCGAACAAGUACCGUGAGGGAAAGAUGAAAAGAACUUUGAAAAGAGAGUUAAACAGUACGUGAAAUUGUCAAAGAGGGAAGCGUUUGACACCAGUGUUGUUUUCUCGAAAAUCAAUUAAAAAUGGCGGGAUCUUGUGUUGUAUUGACUUUAUCAGCUUUCUGCACUCUUUUUCCUGUCUUUUUUAAUGCACUUUUCGUUUAACAAGUCAACAUCAAUUUCUUUUGUUGUAAAAGAGGUCAUUGGAAGGUGGCUUUCUUUUCGGAGAAAGUGUUUAUAGCCUUUGGCCUCUGCAAUCGGAGAGAUUGAGGUCUGCAGCGUAGAUCCUUCGGGGUUAGAUACAUUUGUGCUAAGUUAUAGCCUUUCAUAGACAACUUGUUGACUAUGAUCAGUCAUGUAGCUUACUCGCUUAUGCUAUUUUACCUACGCUUAGGAUGUUGAGUCAUCACACAUCUCU
rnacentral:rRNA from 1 species